CAUCUAUUUAUUGGUCAUGAACUUAAUCAGCCUUGGGAUAUGGAAGAAGGAUUGAAAAACACCAGUCACAGCCAUGUUCUUUUUGUAUGAAAGGCAGACAAGAAAACGCAUGACCUAAAGCCAACAUAAGAGAGUCGAGUAUGAGGGUACAUUUGUGAUCUCAAAGCUUCUGUGGAAGUCAAUGCUAUGUGCGGUACUUUUUUCCAGAAGUUCCAUUCCCCAGAGGUUAUUCAGUCUAUACUUUUUCAGUGUACGUCUCUCAAGGCUGGUUGUUUCGGGAAUGAAAUAAGUACAUCUUGGAUGUAAACACUGUUCCAGCUAUGCAAGUGUCUACACAAGCAAGUUGCCCAAACAGAGUGAAUAGCAUCUGUUUUAAAUGGAGUGGCUGGAGCUCUGAGUGAAAGACAGGAUCCCAUAGGCAGGU